CUUUGCCAGCUCCUCCCCAGACACCCCUGCUGCCAGGCCUUUACAUUCAGGACAGACGUUGAUAACAGUCAGGUAACAACGACAACAGCCAAGGCAGCGGGUGGAGCAGAAACCGACCCGCCAGGCUCGCCUCCUGGGCACCCCGGUGCCCUGAGGAGCCUGGUCAUCCAACACAGGGGCUGCUGGGAAAUGCUCUGGGCACUGACCACGGCCAGGGCGGUCCUGGGACACAGGACGGCAGGCUGGGCGAGGACGAUGGCCUCCCACUCGCUGCUGGUGGCCCCCCCAGCGGCCCUGAGCAAGCCGCUGCUCAUCCCCAGCCGGCUUCUGCUGGGGCCCGGCCCCUCCAACCUGACCCCCCGCGUCAUGGUGGCCGGGGGGCUGCAGGUGCUGGGACACAUGCACCAAGAGGUGUACCAGAUCAUGGAUGAGAUCAAGCAAGGCAUCCAGUACGUGUUCCAGACCAGGAACCCCCUGAGCCUGGCCGUCAGCGGCUCGGGGCACUGCGCCCUGGAGGCUGCCCUGUUCAACCUGCUGGAGCCAGGCGACUCCUUCCUGGUUGGGGUCAGUGGCAUCUGGGGGCAGCGGGCCCAGGACAUCGCGGAGCGCAUCGGAGCCCGCGUGUACCCGAUGGUCAAGGCGCCUGGAGGCCACUUCACUCUGCAGGAGGUGGAGGAGGCCCUGGCCCGGCACAAGCCGGUGCUCCUGUUCCUGGCCCAUGGAGAGUCGUCCACCGGCGUGCUGCAGCCCCUCGAUGGCUACGGGGAGCUCUGUCACAGGCACCAGUGCCUACUCCUGGUGGACUCGGUGGCGUCCCUGGGCGGGGCCCCCGUCUACAUGGACCAGCAGGGCAUCGACGUCCUGUACUCGGGCUCCCAGAAGGUCCUGAAUGCGCCCCCGGGCACCUCGCUCAUCUCCUUCAGCAACAAGGCCAAAAAUAAGAUCUAUGCUCGUAAGACCAAGCCCGUCUCUUUCUACCUGGACAUGCAGUGGCUGGCCAACUCCUGGGGCUGUGAUGGCAAGCCCAGGAUGUACCACCACACCACCCCUGUCACCAGCCUGUACAGCCUGAGGGAGAGCCUGGCCCACCUGGUGGAGCAGGAAGGAACCCACUCAGUCCCCAGCCUGCAACCUGUCCCUCCAGGGCCUGGAGAACAGCUGGCGGCAGCACCGCGAGGCCUCCGAGUACCUGCACGCAUGCCUGCAGGGGCUGGGCCUGCAGCUGUUCGUGAAGGACCCGGCGCUCCGGCUGCCCACCAUCACCAGCGUGGUGGUCCCUGAGGGCUAUGACUGGAGGGACAUCGUCAAGUACGUCAUGGACCACCACGACAUCGAGAUUGCGGGCGGCCUUGGGCCCUCGGCAGGGAAGGUGCUGCGGAUCGGCCUGCUGGGCGGCAACGCCACGCGGGAGAACGUGGACCGAGUGACCCGGGCCCUGCGGGAGGCCCUGCAGAGCUGCCCCCGCAGCAAGCUGUGAGCGGGCUGUCAGUCCCUCGUCCACCGUGGGAGCGGGCGUGUGGCCCCGGUGCGAACAGAGUCUGUAGGAGGCAUGGGACAGCUGCUGCCCAGCCCAGGCGGCUUCCCCGCCCCAGGCGGCCUGUCCCCUCCCGGUGAAACCUCCUGGUGUGGCCGCAUGGACCCUCAACACCUCCCCUUGAGCUGUCGCCCCCAUAGGUCCCCGGCCUCCUACGAAGGUUCAAUAAAGAAGUGGCUUCAUCGGUCUUCACUGUGUGGAGCCCUGCUCCCUGACUGCA